rnacentral:misc_RNA from 1 species
GAUGAAGAACGCAGUGAAAUGCGAUACGUAAUGUGAAUUGCAGAAUUCAGUGAAUCAUCGAGUCUUUGAACGCACAUUGCGCCCCCUGGUAUUCCGGGGGGCAUGCCUGUCCGAGCGUCAUUGCUGCCCUCAAGCACGGCUUGUGUGUUGGGCCUCCGUCCUCCUCCCGGGGGACGGGCCCGAAAGGCAGCGGCGGCACCGCGUCCGGUCCUCGAGCGUAUGGGGCUUCGUCACCCGCUCUUGUAGGCCCGGCCGGAGCUUGCCGACACAUCAAUCUUUUUUCCAGGUUGACCUCGGAUCAGGUAGGGAUACCCGCUGAACUUAAGCAUAUCAAUAAGCGGAGGA